rnacentral:rRNA from 1 species
CGUAGGUGGCAAGCGUUGUCCGGAAUUAUUGGGCGUAAAGCGCGCGCAGGCGGUUCCUUAAGUCUGAUGUGAAAGCCCCCGGCUCAACCGGGGAAGGUCAUUGGAAACUGGGGAACUUGAGUGCAGAAGAGAAGAGCGGAAUUCCACGUGUAGCGGUGAAAUGCGUAGAGAUGUGGAGGAACACCAGUGGCGAAGGCGGCUCUUUGGUCUGUAACUGACGCUGAGGCGCGAAAGCGUGGGGAGCAAACAGGAUUAGAUACCCUGGUAGUCCACGCCGUAAACGAUGAGUGCUAAGUGUUAGAGGGUUACCGCCCUUUAGUGCUGCAGCUAACGCAUUAAGCACUCCGCCUGGGGAGUACGGCCGCAAGGCUG